rnacentral:lncRNA from 1 species
GCGCAAUAUUCGGGUGGGAGUGACCCGAUUUUCCAGGUAGAGACACUUUUGACUUGAUCUCUGCAGUCCUCAACAUGGAAAUUUCUUUUAGAAUGUAAUAAAUGCUUAAAGAAGAAUUAUACUGUGAGUAGAACAGCAUGCAGCCUGGCACUUAGCAAGUGAUCGAGAAAUAAUUCAUGAGUGAAUGAAUGAACAGAUGACAGAUGUAACCAAAAAUCAAAACUAAAAUCACUUCUGAAGUCGAGGAUGCACUUCUCAGCAUUUUUCUCAUCUGGAUUUAACAUAGAUCUGUUCUCACACAAACAUCUGUGGAAUGAGCCUGGACAUUGCUACGGAGGGCUGGUUAGAGGAGGAGGAAAGAAAGAAUAAUGGCUAAUCAUUAAGUUGCAGUGUGGGUGUUUGGUUGGGAAGAACCAGCUGGCGGAGGAAUGGAUACUACCUCUGACUCAGAGACAUGGGCAGUGACCCCUAUUGUCUGGCCAAGAAGGAGUCACAUGUCUUUGGUGACUUCUUUGUUUACACUCAGAGUUUAACUAUGAGGCAGAAAUGGUUUCUUUGCCAAAGUCUACAUUUGAUGAAACAUGGCUAAUUUUAAUUUUAGAGCUGAGCUUGGACCUUUCUUCUAGUCAUUGCUCCAAAGUGGUGCUUACGGGAAAGGAGAGUAUUCUUCAUGAUCAGCUCUGUCUUACAUUCAAGUGCAGUCAGGCACGGAGGGACUAGAGCAUCGGCCCUAGGCCACAGCUGGAAAGUCCUCUGCGUUGCUCAACAGGGGUCACAAAGCAAACUGAGAUCAUACGUGGGCAAAGGAAAAAAGAGAAGGCAAAACAUUCAAAAUCUCAAACAUUUGAAACCAGAUUUCAGUUGAAAUAUAUAAGUUAAUCAGUAUCAAGCAAAAAUGUCAGUCCCCAGAAAGCCAGUCUCUCCUUCACAUUUAUGUAAAUACAGUUUGGGUUCUGAUAUCAUUGGCUGCUGAAUUUAAUAUUGAGACAAAGUGUAGUAGAGUAAAAGGCCUCCCAAAGCCACUUAUUCCACUCAUUCAGUCAAAAGAAAUUUACUAAAUGCUUUCCUUGUGAGCAACGCACUAAGCCAAGUUAUGGCACUUCACUCUGUCAGCUUUCAAACGCACCAUCCUAACACCAUCACCAUAAACAACAUCAUCACCAGAACCAUCAUCAUCACCAUCAUUAUCACCACUGUCAUAAUAACCAAUACCAUUCCCAUUACCCAACACCCCCAUCACCAUCACCAUUCCCAUCCCAGCACCUUCAUUAUCACCAUCCCCAUC